rnacentral:rRNA from 1 species
AGCUAAUAGAUACCCAGGUAGUCCACGCCCUAAACGAUGUCUACUAGUUGUUGGUGGAGUAAAAUCCAUGAGUAAACGCAGCUAACGCGUGAAGUAGACCGCCUGGGGAGUACGGUCGCAAGAUUAAAAACUCAAAGGAAUUGACGGGGGGCCCGCACAAGCGGUGGAUUAUGUGGAUUAAUUCGAUGCAACGCGAAAAACCUUACCUGGCCUUGACAUGCCACUAACGAAGCAGAGAUGCAUUAGGUGCCCGUAAGGGAAAGUGGACACAGGUGCUGCAUGGCUGUCGUCAGCUCGUGUCGUGAGAUGUUAGGUUAAGUCCCGCAACGAGCGCAACCCUUGCCAUUAAUUGCCAUCAUUUAGUUGGGCACUUUAAUGGGACUGCCGGUGACAAACCGGAGGAAGGUGGGGAUGACGUCAAGUCCUCAUGGCCCUUAUGGCCAGGGCUUCACACGUAAUACAAUGGUCGGUACAGAGAGUUGCCAACCCGCGAGGGGGAGCUAAUCUCAGAAAGCCGAUCGUAGUCCGGAUUGUUCU